CGAGUGGCGAACGGGUGAGUAACACGUGGGUAACCUGCCCAUCAUAAGGGGAUAACACUUGGAAACAGGUGCUAAUACCGUAUAACAAUCGAAACCGCAUGGUUUUGAUUUGAAAGGCGCUUUCGGGUGUCGCUGAUGGAUGGACCCGCGGUGCAUUAGCUAGUUGGUGAGGUAACGGCUCACCAAGGCCACGAUGCAUAGCCGACCUGAGAGGGUGAUCGGCCACAUUGGGACUGAGACUCGGCCCAAACUCCUACGGGAGGCAGCAGUAGGGAAUCUUCGGCAAUGGACGAAAGUCUGACCGAGCAACGCCGCGUGAGUGAAGAAGGUUUUCGGAUCGUAAAACUCUGUUGUUAGAGAAGAACAAGGAUGAGAGUAACUGUUCAUCCCUUGACGGUAUCUAACCAGAAAGCCACGGCUAACUACGUGCCAGCAGCCGCGGUAAUACGUAGGUGGCAAGCGUUGUCCGGAUUUAUUGGGCGUAAAGCGAGCGCAGGCGGUUUCUUAAGUCUGAUGUGAAAGCCCCCGGCUCAACCGGGGAGGGUCAUUGGAAACUGGGAGACUUGAGUGCAGAAGAGGAGAGUGGAAUUCCAUGUGUAGCGGUGAAAUGCGUAGAUAUAUGGAGGAACACCAGUGGCGAAGGCGGCUCUCUGGUCUGUAACUGACGCUGAGGCUCGAAAGCGUGGGGAGCAAACAGGAUUAGAUACCCUGGUAGUCCACGCCGUAAACGAUGAGUGCUAAGUGUUGGAGGGUUUCCGCCCUUCAGUGCUGCAGCUAACGCAUUAAGCACUCCGCCUGGGGAGUACGACCGCAAGGUUGAAACUCAAAGGAAUUGACGGGGGCCCGCACAAGCGGUGGAGCAUGUGGUUUAAUUCGAAGCAACGCGAAGAACCUUACCAGGUCUUGACAUCCUUUGACCACUCUAGAGAUAGAGCUUCCCCUUCGGGGGCAAAGUGACAGGUGGUGCAUGGUUGUCGUCAGCUCGUGUCGUGAGAUGUUGGGUUAAGUCCCGCAACGAGCGCAACCCUUAUUGUUAGUUGCCAUCAUUCAGUUGGGCACUCUAGCAAGACUGCCGGUGACAAACCGGAGGAAGGUGGGGAUGACGUCAAAUCAUCAUGCCCCUU
rnacentral:rRNA from 1 species